UACGUAGGUGGCAAGCGUUGUCCGGAUUUAUUGGGCGUAAAGGGAGCGCAGGCGGUGACUUAAGUCUGAUGUGAAAGCCCAUGGCUCAACCGUGGAAGGUCAUUGGAAACUGGGUCACUUGAAUAUAGAAGAGGAAAGUGGAAUUCCAUGUGUAGCGGUGAAAUGCGUAGAUAUAUGGAGGAACACCAGUGGCGAAGGCGACUUUCUGGUCUAUUAUUGACGCUGAGGCUCGAAAGCAUGGGUAGCAAACAGGAUUAGA
rnacentral:rRNA from 1 species